AUGAAUCAGUGAAGAAAUGUAAGAGGGGCUAGAGUUGGUUAGAGCUUUAUAGGUAAGGGUUAGUAUUUUAAAUUGACACCUGUAGGGGACAGGAAGCCAGUGUAAGGAUUGACAGAGGGGUGAAGUGUGAGAAUUGGGGAGAGCAGUACAGUAAGCGAUGCAAGAGAUUACUAGGACAUGAACAAGCUCCUUGGCAGCAUCUUGCGUAUGAAAGAUGUGUAUGCGGGCAAUGUUUUUAAGUUGGAAUCGACAUGUUUUAGCAACAGGGGAGGCCAGGAUCAAAAGUGACACCAAUACAGCGAGCUUGAAAGGAUGGGGCGAGGCAGGUACCAUUAACCUGCAGGGAGAGUGAAGGAGGAGGAUCAGUGUUAUGAGGAGGAAAAAAAGGAAACUAAAUUUUAGAGAGAUUGUGUUUCUGAAAGCGGGAGGACAUCCAGUCAGAGAUAGAAGAAAGGCAAUUGGUGACACAUUGUAGGACAGCAGGGGAGGAG